UAGAGCGUAGUUUAACGGUAAAACACAGAUCUCGGGGGACUUCUGCAGAUGCGGGUUCGAAUCCUGUCGCUCUAA
rnacentral:tRNA from 1 species